rnacentral:rRNA from 1 species
GAUGAACGCUAGCGGGAGGCCUAACACAUGCAAGCCGAGCGGUAGAGUUUCUUCGGAAACUUGAGAGCGGCGCACGGGUGCGUAACACGUGUGCAACCUACCUUUAUCUGGGGGAUAGCCUUUCGAAAGGAAGAUUAAUACCCCAUAAUAUAAUGAUUGGCAUCAAUUAUUAUUGAAAACUCCGGUGGAUAGAGAUGGGCACGCGCAAGAUUAGAUAGUUGGUGAGGUAACGGCUCACCAAGUCAAUGAUCUUUAGGGGUCCUGAGAGGGAGAUCCCCCACACGGGUACUGAGACACGGACCAGACUCCUACGGGAGGCAGCAGUGAGGAAUAUUGGACAAUGGGUGAGAGCCUGAUCCAGCCAUCCCGCGUGAAGGAUGACGGUCCUAUGGAUUGUAAACUUCUUUUGGACAGGGAUAAACCUACCCUCGUGAGGGUAGCUGAAGGUACUGUACGAAUAAGCACCGGCUAACUCCGUG